ensembl:rRNA 5S_rRNA 5S ribosomal RNA
AUCUACGGCCAUACCAGCCUAAACGCGCCCGAUUUCGUCUGAUCUCGGAAGCUAAGCAGGGUCGGGCCUGGUGAGUACUUGGAUGGGAGAAGUGUCCCUGGCAAAGCAGGAAGAUA